rnacentral:rRNA from 1 species
AUUGAACGCUGGCGGCAGGCUUAACACAUGCAAGUCGAGCGGGGGAAGGUAGCUUGCUACUGGACCUAGCGGCGGACGGGUGAGUAAUGCUUAGGAAUCUGCCUAUUAGUGGGGGACAACGUUCCGAAAGGGACGCUAAUACCGCAUACGUCCUACGGGAGAAAGCAGGGGAUCUUCGGACCUUGCGCUAAUAGAUGAGCCUAAGUCGGAUUAGCUAGUUGGUGGGGUAAAGGCCUACCAAGGCGACGAUCUGUAGCGGGUCUGAGAGGAUGAUCCGCCACACUGGGACUGAGACACGGCCCAGACUCCUACGGGAGGCAGCAGUGGGGAAUAUUGGACAAUGGGGGGAACCCUGAUCCAGCCAUGCCGCGUGUGUGAAGAAGGCCUUUUGGUUGUAAAGCACUUUAAGCGAGGAGGAGGCUUACCUGGUUAAUACCCGGGAUAAGUGGACGUUACUCGCAGAAUAAGCACCGGCUAACUCUGUGCCAGCAGCCGCGGUAAUACAGAGGGUGCAAGCGUUAAUCGGAUUUACUGGGCGUAAAGCGCGCGUAGUGGCUAAUUAAGUCAAUGUGAAAUCCCCGAGCUUAACUUGGGAAUUGCAUUCGAUACUGGUUAGCUAGAGUAUGGGAGAGGAUGGUAGAAUUCCAGGUGUAGCGGUGAAAUGCGUAGAGAUCUGGAGGAAUACCGAUGGCGAAGGCAGCCAUCUGGCCUAAUACUGACACUGAGGUGCGAAAGCAUGGGGAGCAAACAGGAUUAGAUACCCUGGUAGUCCAUGCCGUAAACGAUGUCUACUAGCCGUUGGGGCCCUUGAGGCUUUAGUGGCGCAGCUAACGCGAUAAGUAGACCGCCUGGGGAGUACGGCCGCAAGACUAAAACUCAAAUGAAUUGACGGGGGCCCGCACAAGCGGUGGAGCAUGUGGUUUAAUUCGAUGCAACGCGAAGAACCUUACCUGGCCUUGACAUACAGAGAACUUUCCAGAGAUGGAUUGGUGCCUUCGGGAACUCUGAUACAGGUGCUGCAUGGCUGUCGUCAGCUCGUGUCGUGAGAUGUUGGGUUAAGUCCCGCAACGAGCGCAACCCUUUUCCUUAUUUGCCAGCACUUCGGGUGGGAACUUUAAGGAUACUGCCAGUGACAAACUGGAGGAAGGCGGGGACGACGUCAAGUCAUCAUGGCCCUUACGGCCAGGGCUACACACGUGCUACAAUGGUCGGUACAAAGGGUUGCUACUGCGCGAGCAGAUGCUAAUCUCAAAAAGCCGAUCGUAGUCCGGAUCGCAGUCUGCAACUCGACUGCGUGAAGUCGGAAUCGCUAGUAAUCGCGGAUCAGAAUGCCGCGGUGAAUACGUUCCCGGGCCU